rnacentral:rRNA from 1 species
CAGCAGCCGCGGUAAUACGUAGGGUGCGAGCGUUAAUCGGAAUUACUGGGCGUAAAGCGUGCGCAGGCGGUUGUGUAAGACAGGUGUGAAAUCCCCGGGCUUAACCUGGGAACUGCGCUUGUGACUGCACAGCUAGAGUAUGGCAGAGGGGGGUGGAAUUCCACGUGUAGCGGUGAAAUGCGUAGAGAUGUGGAGGAACACCGAUGGCGAAGGCAGCCCCCUGGGCCAAUACUGACGCUCAUGCACGAAAGCGUGGGGAGCAAACAGGAUUAGAGACCCCUGUAGUCCCUGUCUCUUAUAC